CAGACGAGCAAUAUAUCCAAGUAUAAGCAACUUGUACUGUGAAACUGCGAAUGGCUCAUUAAAUCAGUUAUCGUUUAUUUGAUAGUACCUUACUACAUGGAUACCUGUGGUAAUCCUAGAGCUAAUACAUGCUAAAAACCCUGACUUCAGGAAGGGGUGUAUUCAUUAGAUAAAAAGCCAACGCCCUUCGGGGCUCCUUGGUGAAUCAUAAUAAGUUAACCAAUCGCAUGGCCUUGGGCCGGCGAUGGUUUAUUCAAAUUUCUUCCCUAUCAGCUUUCGAUGGUAGGAUAGUGGCCUACCAUGGUGGUGAGAAUUAGGGUUCGAUUCAGGAGAGGGAGCCUGAGAAACGGCUACCACAUCCAAGGAAGGCAGUGCUCUUUUGGGUCUCGUAAUUGGAAUGAGAACAAUUUAAAUCCCUUAACGAGGAACAAUUGGAGGGCAAGUCUGGUGCCAGCAACCGCGGUAAUUCCAGCUCCAAU
rfam:Penicillium nordicum strain DAOMC 185683 scaffold_28, whole genome shotgun sequence.